UACGGAGGGUGCAAACGUUGCUCGGAAUCAUUGGGCGUAAAGCGCACGUAGGUGGCCUGUUAAGUCGGGUGUGAAAGCCCUGGGCUCAACCCAGGAAGUGCACUCGAAACUGGCGGGCUUGAAUAUGGAAGAGGGUCGCGGAAUUCCCGGUGUAGAGGUGAAAUUCGUAGAUAUCGGGAGGAACACCAGUGGCGAAGGCGGCGACCUGGGCUAAUAUUGACGCUGAGGUGCGAAAGCGUGGGGAGCAAAACAGG
rnacentral:rRNA from 1 species